CCUGGCUCAGGACGAACGCUGGCGGCACGCUUAACACAUGCAAGUCGAACGAGAGAAGAGAAGCUUGCUUUUCUGAUCUAGUGGCGGACGGGUGAGUAACACGUGAGCAAUCUGCCUUUCAGAGGGGGAUACCGAUUGGAAACGAUCGUUAAUACCGCAUAACAUAAUUGAACCGCAUGAUUUGAUUAUCAAAGAUUUAUCGCUGAAAGAUGAGCUCGCGUCUGAUUAGCUAGUUGGUAAGGUAACGGCUUACCAAGGCGACGAUCAGUAGCCGGACUGAGAGGUUGAUCGGCCACAUUGGGACUGAGACACGGCCCAGACUCCUACGGGAGGCAGCAGUGGGGAAUAUUGCACAAUGGAGGAAACUCUGAUGCAGCGAUGCCGCGUGAGGGAAGAAGGUUUUAGGAUUGUAAACCUCUGUCUUCAGGGACGAAAAAUGACGGUACCUGAGGAGGAAGCUCCGGCUAACUACGUGCCAGCAGCCGCGGUAAUACGUAGGGAGCGAGCGUUGUCCGGAAUUACUGGGUGUAAAGGGAGCGUAGGCGGGAUCGCAAGUCAGAUGUGAAAACUAUGGGCUUAACCCAUAAACUGCAUUUGAAACUGUGGUUCUUGAGUGAAGUAGAGGUAAGCGGAAUUCCUAGUGUAGCGUGAAAUGCGUAGAUUUAGGGAGGAACAUCAGUGGGGAAGGCGGCUUACUGGGCUUUAACUGACGCUGAGGCUCGAAAGCGUGGGGAGCAAACAGGAUUAGAUACCCUGGUAGUCCACGCCGUAAACGAUGAUUACUAGGUGUGGGGGGACUGACCCCUUCCGUGCCGCAGCAAACGCAAUAAGUAAUCCACCUGGGGAGUACGACCGCAAGGUUGAAACUCAAAGGAAUUGACGGGGGCCCGCACAAGCAGUGGAGUAUGUGGAUUAAUUCGAAGCAACGCGAAGAACCUUACCAGGUCUUGACAUCGUAUGCAUAGCUCAGAGAUGAGUGAAAUCUCUUCGGAGACAUAUAGACAGGUGGUGCAUGGUUGUCGUCAGCUCGUGUCGUGAGAUGUUGGGUUAAGUCCCGCAACGAGCGCAACCCUUACUGUUAGUUGCUACGCAAGAGCACUCUAGCAGGACUGCCGUUGACAAAACGGAGGAAGGUGGGGAUGACGUCAAAUCAUCAUGCCCCUUAUGACCUGGGCCUCACACGUACUACAAUGGCUGUUAACAGAGGGAUGCAAAGCCGCGAGGUGGAGCGAACCCCUAAAAGCAGUCUUAGUUCGGAUUGUAGGCUGCAACCCGCCUACAUGAAGUCGGAAUAGCUAGUAAUCGCAGAUCAGCAUGCUGCGGUGAAUCCGUUCAAGGGCCUUGUACACACCGCCCG
rnacentral:rRNA from 1 species